rnacentral:rRNA from 1 species
CCUACGGGGUGCAGCAGUGAGGAAUAUUGGUCAAUGGCCGGAAGGCUGAACCAGCCAUGCCGCGUGAAGGUCAGUGCCCUAUGGGCGUUAAACUUCUUUUGUGCGGGAGCAAUAAUGGUCACGUGUGGCCAGACGAGAGUACCGUACGAAUAAGCAUCGGCUAACUCCGUGCCAGCAGCCGCGGUAAUACGGGGGAUGCAAGCGUUAUCCGGAUUUAUUGGGUUUAAGGGGUGCGUAGGCUGGGAGGUAAGUCAGCGGUGAAAUGCCCCCGCUCAACGGGGUGAAGUGCCAUUGAUACUGCCUGGCUGGAAUGCGGAUGCCGUGGGAGGAAUGUGUGGUGUAGCGGUGAAAUGCAUAGAUAUCACACAGAACACCGAUUGCGAAGGCAUCUCACGAAUCCGCGAUUGACGCUGAUGCACGAAAGCGUGGGUAUCAAACAGGAUUAGAUACCCGAGUAGUC